rnacentral:rRNA from 1 species
AGUGAACGUUGGCGGCGUGGAUUAGGCAUGCAAGUCGAGCAAGAACCGUAGCAAUACGGGGACAGCGGCGAAAGGGACAGUAAUGUGUAGGUACCUACCUCCGGGUUCGGGAUAGCUGCGGGAAACUGCAGGUAAUACCGAAUAACGUCUCCGGACCAAAGGUGUGAUUCCACCUGGAGAGGGGCCUGCAUCCUAUUAGCUUGUUGGCGGGGUAACGGCCCACCAAGGCGACGAUGGGUAGCGGGUGUGAGAGCACGACCCGCGUCAUUGGGACUGAGACACUGCCCAGACACCUACGGGUGGCUGCAGUCGAGGAUCUUCGGCAAUGGGCGCAAGCCUGACCGAGCGACGCCGCGUGCGGGAUGAAGGCCUUCGGGUUGUAAACCGCUGUCGUAGAGGAGGAAAUGCAGGGGGGUUCUCCCCUCUGUUUGACCUAUUCUAGGAGGAAGUACGGGCUAAGUUCGUGCCAGCCGCCGCCGUAA